UACGUAGGGCGCAAGCGUUGUCCGGAAUCAUUGGGCGUAAAGAGCGCGUAGGCGGUCUUGUAAGUCCGCUGUGAAAGUCAAGGGCUCAACCCUUGAAUGCCGGUGGAUACUGCAGGGCUAGAGGCCGGAAGAGGCGAAUGGAAUUCCUGGUGUAGCGGUGAAAUGCGCAGAUAUCAGGAGGAACACCGAUGGCGAAGGCAGCUCGCUGGGACGGUACUGACGCUGAGGCACGAAAGCGUGGGGAGCGAGCAGG
rnacentral:rRNA from 1 species